CUGCAAUCAACAUUCAUUGCUGUCGGUGGGUUUAGCAUGAGAACAACUCACUGAUCAAUGAAUGCAAACUGCGG
rnacentral:pre_miRNA from 1 species